AAUAAUGAAGUAAAAAUUACAUUUAGUUUCGACCUAAAAUUAGAGGAUUUUAUCCUCCUUAUUU
rnacentral:tRNA from 1 species